CCUACGGGGUGCAGCAGUGGGGAAUAUUGGGCAAUGGGCGCAAGCCUGACCCAGCAACGCCGCGUGAAGGAAGAAGGCUUUCGGGUUGUAAACUUCUUUUCUCAGGGACGAAGCAAGUGACGGUACCUGAGGAAUAAGCCACGGCUAACUACGUGCCAGCAGUCGCGGUAAUACGGAGGAUGCGAGCGUUAUCCGGAUUUAUUGGGUUUAAAGGGUGCGCAGGCGGAAGCGGCAAGUCAGCGGUAAAAUUGCGGGGCUCAACCUCGCCGAGCCGUUGAAACUGCUCUUCUAGAGUGGGCGAGAAGUAUGCGGAAUGCGUGGUGUAGCGGUGAAAUGCAUAGAUAUCACGCAGAACUCCGAUUGCGAAGGCAGCAUACCGGCGCCCAACUGACGCUCAUGCACGAAAGCGUGGGUAUCGAACAGGAUUAGAUACCCCAGUAGUC
rnacentral:rRNA from 1 species